rnacentral:rRNA from 1 species
GACGAACGCUGGCGGCGUGCCUAAUACAUGCAAGUAGAACGCACGGUUUAUACCGUAGCUUGCUACACCAUAGACUGUGAGUUGCGAACGGGUGAGUAACGCGUAGGUAAACUGCCUGGUAGCGGGGGAUAACUAUUGGAAACGAUAGCUAAUACCGCAUAAUAUUAAUUAUUGCAUGAUAAUUAAUUGAAAGGUGCAAUUGCACCAAUACCAGAUGGACCUGCGUUGUAUUAGCUAGUAGGUGAGGUAACGACUCACCUAGGCGACGAUACAUAGCCGACCUGAGAGGGUGAUCGGCCACACUGGGACUGAGACACGGCCCAGACUCCUACGGGAGGCAGCAGUAGGGAAUCUUCGGCAAUGGACGAAAGUCUGACCGAGCAACGCCGCGUGAGUGAAGAAGGUUUUCGGAUCGUAAAGCUCUGUUGUAAGAGAAGAACGGGUGUGAGAGUGGAAAGUUCACACUGUGACGGUAUCUUACCAGAAAGGGACGGCUAACUACGUG